GUGAAUAUGAGAAUCUGUGUGUUUCUAAAUGGCUUGCUGGUCUUGGGCAUGCAAUUCUUUAUGUUGUUUCCUUAUAAAGUGAUUCAGAGGAAGACGUUCUGGUGGAUGACUGGAUGACAUCCAAACAAGAUCUGUUGGACACAUCAGAUGAAGAGCUGAAUGAUGACCUUUUGUGUAGCGAUGAUGAGAACGAAACUAUAAGAUGUCACAAUGAAAGCAUUUCUAAACCAAAACUGCAGGCGAUUGCAAAGCCUUACCUCGUUUGCAAAACUCCACACCUUGCUGAAGACCAAGGCAGAUGUCCUAAAGAAGAGGUGGAAGUGGACCCUGGUGAAGUUUUAGACAUCGAAAUCAAUGCCCCUUCUGGAGAUGAAUUUCACGAAGUUGCUGACUACAGUGAUCAUCAGCAGGCCAAUGUAAAGAUGGAUGUUAAGGAUGACAUUAAGGUGGUGUCCAGUUUGCAGGAGUCAAGAGAGGGUGGAUCUGAGUUGCGAGAGGGUCUCUCUCCUCAACCCUUUGGGCCUCAUCUCACACACUCCUGUGGGGGACAGCCUGCCCCAGAGGAGACCCUCACUGGACCCUGCUGCAGUCCUGAGCCAGUGUUCCCAGGACAGCAUAUGUUUGAUCCACAACACUCUGCUUCAGUCUUGGACACUAAUCCGCCCCUUGCUGGACCUACUCCCAUGGGCUCCAUUCAGCCUCCAGGAAAUGAGAGUGACCCCUGCAGGCCCAGUCUAGCUUUGCAAGGGCCCACCGAUCUGUCAAGGCCUGGGACUCCCCACCGUGGGCAAAAGCCUUUUCAGAAACAUUUGUCUCUGUUUCACCCCUCCUUCAAAGAGCCAGUGUUCCCAGGACAGCAUAUGUUUGAUCCACAACACUCUGCUUCAGUCUUGGACACUAAUCCGACCCCUUGCUGGACCUACUCCCAUGGGCUCCAUUCAGCCUCCAGGAAAUGAGAGUGACCCCUGCAGGCCCAGUCUAGCUUUGCAAGGGCCCACCGAUCUGUCAAGGCCUGGGACUCCCCACCGUGGGCAAAAGCCUUUUCAGAAACAUCCAUCAGCUCAGUCUGGCUGCUCCUUUACUGCUCCCUCUGGACCACAGGCACAGGUAAUAUUCUAUUAAUAUCCAUAAUGGCCACUCCCACUCAUAUUGAUGAGACCACU
rnacentral:lncRNA from 1 species